CAACUACACACUCUGUGUCCCUCCUAGGAAACACAGGUAGACACAAUAUGAAAGCAGUCUUAAACUAAUACCUCCAAAUCUCCAUUCCCAUAUAGCUAUAUCAGAACACAAUCAGAAAACAACACAGCAACAUAUAAAUUAAACCAGUUUCCAGUUAAGCUGCACACUUCACACAUUAUCACAGUCACCAUUUACACAGAAUAAACAGUUAACAGCUGUACUCAGAACAUAUUAUAAGGUAUACCAUUUUUAGUUUAUAUUAGAUUUAUUUUAGGGAUUCUUAUGUAUACUUUAUUUUAUUAUUUUUUUUAUUUUAUUUU